ACGUCUAUCAGUCUCGGGGACCUUGAGGAGUACCAUCUUCUUCUGUAUAGUUCCUGACACCUUAGACCUCAACUGUGUUGCAGAUCUGGAUGACAAAUCCUGAUUUUGAGAUUCAGUUUUCCUCGGAUCAGACAGAUUUGUGGGAUCGCAGCCCUUUCCUGCCUCGAUUGCCCUUGCCUGUUUCUGGUCCUUGGGGUGGGACCUUUCUCGGCCUCGAUCCCUCCUUUAAUCCAUGAUGAGAUUAUCUGCUCACAGCAUUGCCUCACAGUCUCCUGCGGAUUUGCAUAAACAGAUGCUUACAAACAUCUCCCUGAGCGCGUGUCAACAGGAAGUUGUAGUUGCCACUGAUGUGACUACUCGAGGUCGUCGUGCUCUGCAGCCAAUGGCAAACAUCUGAAGAAGCCGCAGUGGAAAGUUCCAACGUUCUCCCCCAAGACACCAAGGCUACAGGCUGAAUACACACAUAAUACAGAAUUGUUCUUCCAUGAAUUGCAAACUCUAACCUUGGAUCACCUCUUACCAUGGAUUUGUUGAGCUGUGGGUGAGGAGUGAUGAUGUAGUCGAGGAGACAUGAGCGGGCAAGGAUGGACACCAACGGACGCUCGCUGAAGGCUGCGCAGGGAUGGUAGAGCAAUAUGGCAGCUCCUUGCUGCAUAACAGCUGGAUUAAAAGUGGGUCGAUUGGUCAUGCCUGCAAAGUGGUAUGCAGGUGAGAAAGAUGUCAAGCAUGCAAAGGUACAGAGUGAAGAGCUGCUGUAUCCAUGGUUACCUGAGUGGAGUUUAACCAAGCAGCGGGAGCAGGACAGCUCCAGUAGAUGGCAUCUGCAGGUAGAUCCCUUUCCACAAGCAACUAUGCAAACAUCAAAUAUGAGACGGUGCAACAAGCAUCAUCUUUGGGAAAUAUAAUAACAAAACAAAUCUUAACCUUUCCA